CCUACGGGUGGCAGCAGUGAGGAAUAUUGGUCAAUGGGCGCGAGCCUGAACCAGCCAAGUCGCGUGAGGGAGGACGGCCCUACGGGUUGUAAACCUCUUUUGCCGGGGAGCAAAGGGCGCCACGUGUGGCGUCACUGAGAGUACCCGGAGAAAAAGCAUCGGCUAACUCCGUGCCAGCAGACGCGGUAAUACGGAGGAUGCGAGCGUUAUCCGGAUUUAUUGGGUUUAAAGGGUGCGUAGGCGGAUCGUUAAGUCAGUGGUCAAAUUGAGGGGCUCAACCACGUCCCGCCAUUGAGACUGGCGAUCUUGAGUGGAAGAGAAGUAUGCGGAAUGCGUGGUGUAGCGGUGAAAUGCAUAGAUAUAACGCAGAACCCCGAUUGCGAAGGCAGCAUGCCGGCUUCCGACUUACGCUGAAGCACGAAAGCGUGGGGAUCGAACAGGAUUAGAUACCCUGGUAGUC
rnacentral:rRNA from 1 species